UACGUAGGGUCCGAGCGUUGUCCGGAAUUACUGAGCGUAAAGAGCUCGUAGGUGGUUUGUCGCGUUGUCCGUGAAAACUCACAGCUCAACUGUGGGCGUGCGGGCGAUACGGGCAGACUGGAGUACUGCAGGGGAGACUGGAAUUCCUGGUGUAGCGGUGGAAUGCGCAGAUAUCAGGAGGAACACCGGUGGCGAAGGCGGGUCUCUGGGCAGUAACUGACGCUGAGGAGCGAAAGCGUGGGGAGCGAACAGG
rnacentral:rRNA from 1 species